UACGGAAGGGGCGAGCGUUAUUCGGAAUUAUUGGGCGUAAAGGGCGCGUAGGCGGCUUGAUGUGUCAAAGGUGAAAUCCCUCGGCUCAACUGAGGAACUGCCUUUGAAACUGUCUGGCUUGAGGCCGGGAGAGGGUAGCGGAAUUCCCAGUGUAGCGGUGAAAUGCGUAGAUACUGGGAGGAACACCGGUGGCGAAGGCGGCUACCUGGACCGGUUCUGACGCUGAUGCGCGAAAGCGUGGGGAGCAAACAGG
rnacentral:rRNA from 1 species